UUAUUGUCUUUAUUCCACCAAACCGAAGUGCGCAACAGAUCUGUUCCGCAAAAAAAUCUGUUGCGCAGUUUCUCUGUCGAAAUGUCAAACUUAAUUUGAGUAUUUCCCUGUUAUCGUGUAGCCGAUCAGAUUUGACUUUUCUCGGCAAUGUUUUGGUUGUUCGACUUCGGAUUUUCGCUACGUUGUUAAGUUUUUUACUCAAAAUUAGUUGAAAUCUCAAAUAAAACAUUUUAUUAACUAGGAUCAGACAAUGCAGAAUGUUCAUCGCAGGCUGGCUUAAAUCUGCGAUCUGGGAAUGGCUCAAAAUUGUCAACUCAACCGGCGGUGUUAAUCGCAAGAAACGGGACCAGGUGUACAAGACAUUUGGAGCAGCAAUUAGAUCAAUGAGGAUUUCAUUCCGUCUGAAUCUUGGACCGGGCCAAGAAUUUCUGUGAUCGGAAAAGGGCUUGGGAAAGAACCUGAAGAAGUUCGGCUUGAUUGUUUUGCCAUAAUUGAUGCGAUAAAUAAAACAUACGACUAAACAAA